GGCUUGCUGUGGCUGUGCCGUUUCUCUCCCCAAAAUGUCCCUUGUGUUUAUGCAUAUUCCGUUUGAGGAGGGAGCUCCAUCAGGAGGCAAGCAGCUUGAUCCGGAGGGGGGCCAGAUGCUGACUGCCUUCAAUGCUACGGGCGGCAACAAUGUCAUACUCUUUAUGACCAGACUGCAUCAGAUAGAUGGGCUCUACGUAGAGAGACAGAGGGGCGGUGUUUUGCCCGAUCAAAUGCUUUCUCCUGUGAGAUACAUUCAGCCUCUUGGCAACUGAAGCUAUUGAACCCUGACCUGUUCACCGGACGUGCUGCUGCUCCAGUUUCAACUGUUCUGCCUGCGGCUAUGGAACCCUGACUUGUUCACCGGACGUGCUACCUGUCCCAGAC
rnacentral:lncRNA from 1 species